rnacentral:rRNA from 1 species
UACCAGCACCCCGAGUGGUCGGGACGAUUAUUGGGCCUAAAGCAUCCGUAGCCGGUUCUUUAAGUCCUCCGUUAAAUCCACCUGCUUAACAGAUGGGCUGCGGAGGAUACUAUGGAGCUAGGAGGCGGGAGAGGCAAGCGGUACUUAGUGGGUAGGGGUAAAAUCCGUUGAUCCAUUGAAGACCACCAGUGGCGAAGGCGGCUUGCCAGAACGCACUCGACGGUGAGGGAUGAAAGCUGGGGGAGCAAACCGG